GGUGUAUCGGUUAUGCUGCCAAGUGUACUGCCGAGUAGCCGCGUUCGGUCUGGAUAAGCGCUGAAAGCAUCUAAGCGCGAAGCCAUCCCCAAGAUAAGUUUUCCCUUGAGGGGCGUAGGAGACUACUACGUUGAUAGGCUGCAGGUGUAAAGACAGUAAUGUCAAAGCCGAGCAGUACUAAUUACCCGAACGACUUUUUUGCA
rnacentral:rRNA from 1 species